rnacentral:Y_RNA from 1 species
GACUGGACCCAAGGUAGUGAGUUACCUCGAUUGAUGGUUCACAGUCAGUUACAGAUCGAACUCUUUGUUCUACCCUUUUCUCCUUCUUCACUACUGCACUUGACUAGUCUUAA